GUGGGGAAUUUUGGACAAUGGGGGCAACCCUGAUCCAGCCAUGCCGCGUGCGGGAAGAAGGCCUUCGGGUUGUAAACCGCUUUUGUCAGGGAAGAAAUCCUUUGGGUUAAUACCUCGGAGGGAUGACGGUACCUGAAGAAUAAGCACCGGCUAACUACGUGCCAGCAGCCGCGGUAAUACGUAGGGUGCGAGCGUUAAUCGGAAUUACUGGGCGUAAAGCGUGCGCAGGCGGUUUUGUAAGAUCGAUGUGAAAUCCCCGGGCUCAACCUGGGAACUGCAUUGGUGACUGCAAGGCUGGAGUGCGGCAGAGGGGGAUGGAAUUCCGCGUGUAGCAGUGAAAUGCGUAGAUAUGCGGAGGAACACCGAUGGCGAAGGCAAUCCCCUGGGCCUGCACUGACGCUCAUGCACGAAAGCGUGGGGAGCAAACAGGAUUAGAAACCCGAGUAGUCC
rnacentral:rRNA from 1 species